AUUGAACGCUGGCGGCAUGCUUUACACAUGCAAGUCGAACGGUAACAGGCCGCAAGGUGCUGACGAGUGGCGAACGGGUGAGUAAUGCAUCGGAACGUGCCCAGUCGUGGGGGAUAACUACUCGAAAGAGUAGCUAAUACCUCAUACGAUCUAUGGAUGAAAGCGGGGGACCGUAAGGCCUCGCGCGAUUGGAGCGGCCGAUGUCAGAUUAGGUAGUUGGUGGGGUAAAGGCUCACCAAGCCAACGAUCUGUAGCUGGUCUGAGAGGACGACCAGCCACACUGGGACUGAGACACGGCCCAGACUCCUAAGGGAGGCAGCAGUGGGGAAUGUUGGACAAUGGGCGCAAGCCUGAUCCAGCAAUGCCGCGUGCAGGAAGAAGGCCUUCGGGUUGUAAACUGCUUUUGUACGGAACGAAACGGCUCUGGUUAAUACCCGGGGCUAAUGACGGUACCGGAAGAAUAAGCACCGGCUAACUACGUG
rnacentral:rRNA from 1 species